GACCUGCCAGUGCUUAGCCACAGGCUGUGUUCUUACACGGCCUGUUCAGAAAGAGGAGGCACAGUGAAUCACCCAUAUAUACCUCACCCCAGGCCCUUUGCCUGGUCAGCACUGUGAAUGGCGGAGUGUGU